rnacentral:ncRNA from 1 species
CAAAGUUUGAUUUUGGCUUGAUUUUUAUUAUAAUAAUGUUUUACAUGUAAAUUUUAGUGGGAAUUAAUUUAUUUUUAAUAAAAAGAUUAAAUUUUUAUUCGCAGUAUUUAGUAUUAAAUAUAUAAGUAAUUUUGAUUUGGUAAUUAUUUUUAGUACAGGAUAAAUUUGUGCCAGCAUCUGCGGUUAUACAAAUUAUACAAAUAAAAUAUUUUGGUUUAUAGUUAAUUGGUUUAAAAAAAUUAAUUUUUUAUUUUUUAGGUGAAAUUUAAUUUAUUAUUAAAUUUUUAAAAUUAUUUGAAGCUGUGAAAUUUUUUUAUUAAACUAGGAUUAGAUACCCUAUUAUAAAAAAUGUUAAUGUAAAGACCUGGGUAGUAAUAGAUAAGAUCUUGAAACCUAAAAAAUUUGGCGGUGCUUUAGUCUAUUUAGAGGAACCUGUUCCGUGAUCGAUAGACCACGAUUAAUUUUACUUAAUUUUAUUUAGUUUAUAUACCGUCGUUAACAGAAUAUUUUAUAAGAAGAUAAUUUUCUAUAUUUUAUAUUAAAAUUUAUUUCAGAUCAAGGUGUAGCUUAUGAUUAAGAGGAAAUGGGUUACAAUAAUUAUUUAGUUAAACGAAUAUUUAAUUGCAUUCUUAAAUUGAAGGUGGAUUUAAUAGUAAAUUUAUUUAUAUAAAUAUUUUGAUUAUAGCUCUAAAGCAUGCACACAUCGCCCGUCGCUCUUUUUAAUUAAAGAUAAGUCGUAACAUAGUAGAUGUACUGGAAGGUGUAUCUAGAAUG